rnacentral:rRNA from 1 species
CUGCUGCCUUCCGUAGGAGUCUGGUCCGUGUCUCAGUACCAGUGUGGGGGACCUUCCUCUCAGAACCCCUACGCAUCGUCGCCUCGGUGGGCCGUUACCCCGCCGACUAGCUAAUGCGCUGCAUGCCCAUCCCCCGCCGGAAUCGCUUCCUUUGGCCGCAGACCCAUGCAGGUCCGCGGCGUUACGCGGUAUUAGUCGGGAUUUCUCCCGGUUAUCCCCCUGCGGGGGGCAGGUCGCAUACGUGUUACUCACCCGUGCGCCGGUCGCCGG